rnacentral:lncRNA from 1 species
GAAUACCAGUCUCCUGGCGGCGGCUGGCACAGCGGAGCUGCUCUCCAAGCAGCGGGGUUCCCAGGCUGGGAAGUUUGCAUUGCCGUUUCUUUGCGGGCGGGCGGCGAGCGCCGACUGCAUGCCACCUGCGAGAGGAAGAGGCCGGUGAAGUCUCACUCUGUUGCCCAGGCUGGAGUGCAGUGGCACGAUCUCGGCUCGCUGCAACCUCCACCUCCCAGGUUCAAGCGAUCCUUCUGUUUCAGCCUCUCCAGUGGCUGGUAUUACAGGAACACACCACCAUGCCUGGCUAAUGCUUCUCUUUCUAUAAAUGAAGACGUGAGGCCGUGUAAGCUCCAAGAGAGCAGGGAUCUUGUUUGUCUUGGUCACCGUGAUAUUUCAGCUGCUGACCCAGUGCUUGAAGCAUAAAGAGAAACUGAGGCCCAUAAAAUUGAAUGGCUCAUCUCAGAUCAAGUGGCCAGAUCAAUGAAGAGAAGUGUCCUUAGGUCCGGCUGCUGGUGUGAAGUAUGCUCUGGAGGUCUGACAUCCACUCUCCCUCAGACUUUCUAAUACGGCAGGAAUUCCGUCCAUGAUGUGCCAGUUCUGGUAAAUUUCCUAGCAAGCUUGAAGGAAGUGAAGGACAACUGCAAGGAAGGGCAGGAUGGAGCAUGCAGCCCACGUAUUCCCCAGCUUGGUGGGGCAGAAUGCGUUCUUGGCUCCUGAGGAAUGGGCAGGCAACGCACAGGGGUCCUGGGAAGAAAGGGAGAGAAUAUCCUGGGAGAGCCAUAGACCCUGGCACCCUCCUGUGGUCCUUCAUCAGGAUAAAUUUCUAAAAGAAGAAUUACUGGCCAAAGGAUUCCUCUUCAGUUGGAAACAGCAGCAAAGUUCACAGGUCGUGAGUGGAUGUAAAGUGGACGGAACAGGUUGUUGCCAGUCUAUUGGAGUAGGAUGGUAGAUGAGCAGUCCCGUUGGCUAACAGCAGGGGACCCUGGGGCACUCGUCUCCAGCUCUGCCUCACUCUUUGAGGAGCUAGUUCCAGUUCUACUGUGAGUGUGCAAGGGGCUGGUCAGCUGUAGCAAAACCAGCACUGGACAUGGGGGAUCAGAAGACCCCGGCACACAUAGUUCAAGUUGUGACACAUAUUGGUAUGUGACCUUAAGUGAAUCCCUUACCCCUCUGCUGCCAUGUUUUAUGUGUAAAAUGAUAAAGAGAGGGGUGGACUGAGGUAGUAAUUUUUAAUGGAGAACAUUGGUGUGGCAAAUUACACAUGUUCUGGCCUGAAGAUUCUGAGCUGCUCUCCUUGGAGUCACAUUCUUUCCCAGUGUGUGAACAUCUGUGUGCAGUGAGAGACAUGCCUGAUGGGGAUCUGUUGCCUGAAGCCAGUGUGAAGGCAGGAAAAGGCUUGUUGGAAUUUAAAUACGACCAAUCAAAAUGUGUUUAGGCUUCAAAGGAAAAAGUUCUCCAUAAAUACACCAGAAUUUCAUUCUAACAUGAUUCAUUCAUUCAAAGAGCACAGCUGCACAAGGGGAAGACAGCUGCCACAUGGUAACGCAGUCCUGUAAAGAGUCCCAUGUGGUGAGAGACGUGGUUGGGAGUGAGCUUGGAAGUGGAUCCCCAACCCUCGUCCCCAAACUGAGACUUCACAUGAGACUGCAGCUCUGGCCAACAGCUUCACUGUAACCUCACAACAGACCUUGAGCCACAAGCACCCAGCUAAGCUGCAGGGAGACCCCCUGAAACUAUUGCUACGGAAUAAAAGAUGAAAUGCUCCUGAUUAUUGUAAAUACAAAGUUGCAUGCAGGAUUGUGUAAAGACAAUGCCAGGUUGGACUGCCAGAAUGAGCCAACUGCACGUGAUGUGAUUCCCCCUGCAGAGAGCCUAUGAAUGGACGUGCAGUCAGGGAGGUUUCACAUCACCAAGAUUCCUAUCCUAGAAAGGCAGAUGUUCAUAGCUCUAGGAAUGGAAUGCGACCCUUGUGGAGAGCCUAUAAACGGAUGCAUGGGGGUGGGGCGCCUGUCCAUAUGGAUAAGAUAGGGCUAGAAACGCCCUCAUCUUGCCACAGCUCUUCUAGGCCUCUUUAGGGUUAAGGCAUACUCCCUUCUGAGAAUUUCUGGUCUAACUGGUUGUCUAGCUUCACAUCCUGUUUCCGUGGAUUGUUUGUAACCAGCUUUUGUUGCAAUUGUUACUGCUGAUUAAUAUCUUGCUAAUCAUAGGUUAUGGAAAGAUUGUGCUUCUGUUUUAAGGCUCUGUUAGAAAUUACUGACGCACACACUAUAUUGUAAAUUCUUAUCUCUCUAUGCUGUACUUCUACAUACAAAUGUACUGUACUUCUACAUACAAAUGUACUGUACUUCUACAUACAAAUGUUAUGUUAAUUACUUCAUCCCCAUGUGACCAUCUCACCUCAUAAUCAAAUGACCCUAAAUCCCUCACUAACCAACCCCCACCCUCACUUAACUUAAUAAUAAACGCUGGUAUAUCCAGAGCAUUGUUGGCACCAUGGGACCAGAAGGCGGUGACCCCCCUGGACCCAGCUUUCACUAUCUUGUGUGUGUCUAUUAUUUCCCAACCUGCUGAUCUGCCUGGGAACAAAGAGAGAGCCCCAUUGCAUUGUGGGCUGCUGACCAGAUCCUGAAGAUGCAUGCAACAACGAGACAGAGAAAUUUGCUGAAAAAGCACCACAGCAGGAAACAACUAACACAUCCAAUCAUCAAAAAGAAGAAAAGACCACGCUAACUCCUUUACAACAGACAAUCCAGACAGCCAUCCUGAACAACUUGUCUCCAGCGAUCCAGGUCUGGCUCAACCUCUGCCUCCUCCUGAUGACACUGAUCCUUCUACCUCUGUUACGCCACAGACUGUUAAAAACUAUACAUAUUGGGCCUAUAUUCCUUUUCCUCCUCUUAUUCGAGCCGUGACAUGGAUGGAUGCUCCUAUCGAGGUCUAUGUUAAUGAUAGUAUUUGGAUGCCUGGUUCUCUAGAUGAUCGUUGUCCUGCACAACCUUCAGAAGAAGGAACCCCUUUCAAUAUCACUUUAGGUUUUAGGUAUCCACCUUUCUGCCUGGGACCCACUAAUGUAUGUCUCUCAUUAGAUAUUCAAACUUGGGCUGUCACACUACCGUCUGGUCACUCUGUCCCUCCUUUAGGACACUUGAUAUCAGGGCUCUCAUUAAAACCUCUAAGGCAGAUCAAAACAGUAAUCACUGAUUAUAUUCACACAUCCCAAUAUAAGCCUUUAGACCUGUGUGUCCUCUCAACUUGUCUUCAAAUGCUGACAAAAUUAAUAUGGAAAGACUGUGUUAGCUCAGAAGGAACCGUGUUAUUUAAUUCUUCUCACUACACCAUUGUUGAUUGGGCUCCUAAAGGUCAUAUUACUAAUGAUUGCUCUCAAGGUCACAGAGAUUGUCAACAUUUUCUCUAUAAUAUUACUUAUCAAAAACGUAGUGACAGCCCUCCCCUAUUAUAUCGUAGAUUUAACUCCUUUUUUCCUCUUAAGUGGAAAGGGGCAGGGGUUGCGCCUCCAAAGCCAAGGCUCAUUGUUCCCCACAUAGGACCUGAACAUUCCAAAUUAUGGAGAUUAACAAUAGCUAUGACUGGUAUGAGAGUUUGGGCUGGAGAAAGUGUUAUAAGUAAAUCCACUUUGUCACCUCAAAAUGUAUAUACUCUCUAUAUGGAGUCCAACAAAACUAUACCACUUAAAAGUUGUGUUAAACCACCAUAUAUGUUAUUAGCAGGAAAGUUGCAUAUUAGUUCAAAAACCAACAUAAUUACCUGUGUUAAUUGUUACUUGUAUACUUGUAUUGACUCAUCCUUUAAUCAAUAUCAUAGUAUUUUAAUAGUCAGAGCCAGACAAGAUAUUUGGCUCCCUGUAGCCUUACAUAGGCCUUGGGAAUCUUCCCCCUUUAUCCAUGUUAUUAACAAUAUUCUAUAGAAAAUUCUUAAAAGGAGUAAACAAUUUAUUUUUACAUUAAUUGCAAUAAUAAUGGGCUUGAUUGCUGUUACUGUGAUUGCUGCUACUGCUGGAGUUGCAUUACGUCCAUCUAUUCAAACUGUUCAUUUUGUGGAUAAAUGGCAAAAAAAUUCUACUCGGAUGUGGAAUUCUCAGGUAUUGAUCAAAAAUUGGCUAAUCAAAUUAAUGAUCUAAGACAAACUGUUAUAUGGAUGGGAGGUAGAAUUAUGAGUUUAGAACAUAGAUUACAAAUGCAAUGUGAUUGGAAUACUUCUGAUUUUUGUAUAACUCCAUUUCAAUAUAAUGAGUCUGUUCACAAUUGGGAAUCAGUAAAAUGCCAUUUACAAGGAAGUGAAGAUAAUUUAAAGCUUUAGACAUAAGCAAACUAAAAGAACAGAUUUUUGAGGCCUCUCAAGCACACUUAACUGCUUUACCCGGUGCUGAAGUUUUAGACGGUAUCUCUGAGGGAUUAUCUAAUCUCAACCCCAUUCAAUAGGUAAAAUCUUUGGGAGGAUCCACUAUCGUUAAUUUUGUUCUGUGUAUAAUUUGUACUAUUGGUUUAUUGUUCAUGUGUAAAAUUGGAAAAAAUAUUCUUCAGUCCAAUUGUGAUCAGUGCCAAGCUAUGAUUGCUAUGGUUCAUUUAAAUCAGAGAGAAGGGGGAGAUGUAAGGAGACCCCCUGAAACUGUUGCUAUGGAAUAAAAGAUGAAAUGCUCCUGAUUAUUGUAAAUACAAAGUUGCAUGCAGGAUUGUGUAAAGACAAUGCCAGGUUGGACUGCCAGAAUGAGCCAACUGCACGUGAUGUGAUUCCCCCUGCAGAGAGCCUAUGAAUGGACGUGCAGUCAGGGAGGUUUCACAUCACCAAGAUUCCUAUCCUAGAAAGGCAGAUGUUCAUAGCUCUAGGAAUGGAAUGCGACCCUUGUGGAGAGCCUAUAAACGGAUGCAUGGGGAGGUGGCUGUCCGUAUGGAUAAGAUAGGGCUAUAAACGCCCUCAUCUUGCCACAGCUCUUCUAGGCCUCUUUAGGGUUAAGGCAUACUCCCUUCUGGGAAUUUCUGGUCUAACCGGUUGUCUAGCUUCACGUCCUGUUUCCAUGGAUUGUUUGUAACCAGCUUUUGUUGCAAUUGUUACUGCUGAUUAAUAUCUUGCUAAUCAUAGGUUAUGGAAAGAUUGUGUUUCUGUUUUAAGGCUCUGUUAGAAAUUACUGACACACACACUAUAUUGUAAAUUCUUAUCUCUCUAUACUGUACUUCUACAUACAAAUGUACUGUACUUCUACAUACAAAUGUUAUGUGAAAGAAUUACUUCAUCCCCAUGUGACCAUCUCACCUCAUAAUCAAAUGACCCUAAAUCCCUCACUAACCUACCCCCACCCUCACUAAACUUAAUAAUAAACGCUGGUAUAUCCAGUGCAUUGUUGGCACCAUGGGACC